AGCGAACGCUGGCGGCAGGCCUAACACAUGCAAGUCGAACGAACCUUUCGGGGUUAGUGGCGGACGGGUGAGUAACACGUGGGAACGUGCCUUUAGGUUCGGAAUAACUCAGGGAAACUUGUGCUAAUACCGAAUGUGCCCUUCGGGGGAAAGAUUUAUCGCCUUUAGAGCGGCCCGCGUCUGAUUAGCUAGUUGGUUGAGGUAAUGGCUCACCAAGGCGACGAUCAGUAGCUGGUCUGAGAGGAUGAUCAGCCACAUUGGGACUGAGACACGGCCCAAACUCCUACGGGAGGCAGCAGUGGGGAAUCUUGCGCAAUGGGCGAAAGCCUGACGCAGCCAUGCCGCGUGAAUGAUGAAGGUCUUAGGAUUGUAAAAUUCUUUCACCGGGGACGAUAAUGACGGUACCCGGAGAAGAAACCCCGGCUAACUUCGU
rnacentral:rRNA from 1 species